rnacentral:lncRNA from 1 species
CUUUCUCCAUUUUUCCUUGUUCUAUCUGUCUGAGGAUAAAGGUGUUAACAUCUGUGGUUGUGGAAAAACCCAUGUGUAGACUGGAGCUCUCUAAGACGACUCACCAGGUGAGUUCCUUUCCCCUCUUGCUUGAUGAGAUAAAGAACUAUUUUAAAGUUGUUGCAUGUCCAAGUAAAACUGUGACUACUGAAUGCCCCAGCUUUCCGAGGAAACAUGUAAGUGUUCGAAUUAACAAAGAGGAUUUGAGAAGAUUCAGUUGGAUAUGAAAUACUGGCUCAAUAGAGCAUUAUCGGGAAUAUGAAGCCGUGGCUCUUCAGAGCGUAUUAUGGAUCAGAAGCUAACUCGAGGAAGGAUGUCCAAAUGUCUAUAAGAGGUUUGCAUGUAACUGUCUCAAUUGUGUAAACGUUUUUCAGUUAUUUAUUUUAUUGAAUGGUAUUUAGAUUGUAGUUAGUAUCCGCAAAAAAGGUUAUGUUUUAUGGCGGCAUGUAUCUGAAUGUGAAUGUAAUUAGGCAUGGCUAUAAUUGUCUGUGGGUUAUAUUUUUAAUGCAUGGGCAUAUUGUAUUAUUAACAUUUGUACAAUUUGUGCUUGUCUGUGAACCUUCUCUAUGAGCUACAUGAUGGGAGUAGAAAAGGAAGUGUUAGAGACUAUGUAUGGUAGUCAUAAGAGAGAGUUUUUGGUAGGAUGGUAGCAGACGAACUAUUCUCAGAUGAGAUAGUAUCUGUCUGCAAAAUGUUUUGUUGAAACAAAAUGAAUCCAUUGUGGAACAUCUUCUAUUGUGACUUGCAUCAGAAUGUGAGUUUUCACUUCAAGUGAAUUGGGGCGUGGACCGAGCCAUUUACAAGGCGAAUUGAAAAUUAGUGAGACUAUGCAAACUGAAGGAACACAUGAAAUGCUCUGGCGUAGAUUAUGAUCUUCAGUUCUCUUAUUGUGGAUAAGUAUCAGUUAUCGACCGAUUGUUGCAUGUACGAAUAUGUAUUCAAUAUCCACCAAUGUGUAGUGUAAGUGCAGGCUUGUUUGUUUAUGUUCAACAGGCCUAACUGUAGGCUUAUAUUUGUACUUAUCUUCUUUGAUAACCUGUACUAUUGUGUUCUGGGAAACCUUAGGUUGAAAGGUUUCUAUUGUUUUGGAACUCACUAAGUUCAUUUGAACUUACUUUGUUUCCUCUGUUCUUUUUAGGUUUAAGGUCAUUUGUGUUCAUAAAGGGACUCAGCCAAAUUGUCAUGGUUUUUAUGAGCUUUCCUUUGUUCCUUCUAUAACAUGUAUAUAUUAGGCAGUUAUCAUAUUUGUUUAUUUCAUGCAUAUGUUGGUUUAAUUGAAUUCAUUUGAUUAGCACCUUUAUUCAAAUAUUAUGAAGAUGAAUAUGAUUUGGUGUUAUGCCAUAUUUCAAACUAUAUUGUGA